UACGUAGGGGCAAGCGUUGUCCGGAGUUACUGGGCGUAAAGCGCACGCAGGCGGUCUGUUAAGUUUGGAGUGACAGUUGGUGGCUCAACUACCCAAAGUGCUUUGAAAACUGAUAGACUUGAGGGCUCCAGAGGGACACGGAAUUCCGGGUGGAGUGGUGAAAUGCGUAGAGAUCCGGAGGAACACCAAAGGCGAAGGCAGUGUCCUGGGGAGUACCUGACGCUCAGGUGCGAAAGCCAGGGGAGCGAACGGG
rnacentral:rRNA from 1 species